UACGUAGGGUCCAAGCGUUAUCCGGAAUCACUGGGCGUAAAGCGUGCGUAGGUGGCGUGUUAAAUGUGAUGUUAAAUCGUGUGGCUCAACCAUAUCGAUGUGUCGCAUACUGGCAUGCUAGAGGGAAGCAGAGGCAAGUGGAAUUUGUAGUGUAGCAGUGAAAUGCGUAGAUAUUACAAGGAACACCAAUGGCGAAGGCAGCUUGCUGGGCUUCUUCUGACACUGAGGUACGAAAGCGUGGGGGAGCGAACAGG
rnacentral:rRNA from 1 species